rnacentral:lncRNA from 1 species
ACAGAGAUAAGCACGUGUAACAGGUUAGAAAUGCAGUUUGAAUAAUUGCACAAUAUAGUCUGUUACCUGUAUUUCAGUUUCUUUUUAAUCUUUUAUUUUGAUAUCACACUGGUAUUGGGGGUCUCUGGUAGCCCCCCCUGUCUCCCCCUGUUUUGUUCCUCUCUCCCCCCUUCCUCUUUCCUGUUUGGUAUAUGCUUGGAAUGAGCAUUUAUAGUGAAGCUAGCAAGCUGGAGACUUACUAUACUGUUUCUGUUGGUGUGCUUUAACAGAAAUAAAGAUACAUCUCAGCAACUGUCCACGAGUCACAAAUAUUAAAAACACAACGCAGAAGUUACACCGGUUACACACAGUACGGCAGCAGGAUGCACGUGUAAUUAAAAAGAUAAAAUAGUUAACAUUACACAAUGUUGUAUGCAUGUAUGUAGCUGUUGUAUCUAUGGUAUACCCUGAGUCUGAGUAGGAGAGGAAGAGGGAGAGAGGGGAGAGAGAGAGAGAAUGAGAGAGUCAGUGAGAGUGAGAGAGAGAGACCCGCAACUGUUCAUGAACACCAAAUAAGUUUGAAAACAUUGUGACUCAAAUUUCACUCACACAGACACACACACACACAGAUAUGCAUGGUACGAUACCAAAUACAAACAAUAAAAACUGAGCCUGUAAAAGCCA